rnacentral:lncRNA from 1 species
GCUCCUUCGACGGCGCCGCCUAGGAACGCGGAGAAAAUAUGACAAAGGAACGGCCAAAAAUAAAAAGAAAGACCUUUCUUUUGAAAAAACAAACAAAUAAAAGGAAUGCAACACGAGGAGUUCCCAGGAGGUCACCCAUCCUAGUACUACUCUCGCCCAAGCACGCUUAACUUCGGAGUUCUGAUGGGAUCCGGUGCUUUAGUGCUGGUAUGAUCGCAUCCGACAUACCGUGCGUUCUCCUCCCCUUUAUGCCCGCGCCUCCGUGUACGGCCCGCCCAUAGCUCCUUCGAUGGCGCCGCCUAGGAACGCGGAGAAAAUAUGACAAAGGAACGGCCAAAAAUAAAAAGAAAGACCUUUCUUUUGAAAAAACAAACGCCUCCGUGUACGGCCCGCCCAUAGCUCCUUCGACGGCGCCGCCUAGGAACGCGGAGAAAAUAUGACAAAGGAACGGCCAAAAAUAAAAAGAAAGACCUUUCUUUUGAAAAAACAAACAAAAAAAAGGAAUGCAACACGAGGACUUCCCAGGAGGUCACCCAUCCUAGUACUACUCUCGCCCAAGCACGCUUAACUUCGGAGUUCGGAUGGGAUCCGGUGCUUUAGUGCUGGUAUGAUCGCAUCCGACAUACCGUGCGUUCUCCUCCCCUUUAUGCCCGCGCCUCCGUGUACGGCCCGCCCAUAGCUCCUUCGACGGCGCCGCCUAGG